rnacentral:rRNA from 1 species
GGGCCCGCACAAGCGGUGGAGCAUGUGGUUAAUUCGAUGCAACGCGAAGAACCUUACCUGGUCUUGACAUACACAGAAUCUUGUAGAGAUACGAGAGUGCCUUCGGGAAUUGUGAUACAGGUGCUGCAUGGCUGUCGUCAGCUCGUGUCGUGAGAUGUUGGGUUAAGUCCCGCAACGAGCGCAACCCUUGUCCUUAGUUGCCAGCAUUAGGUUGGGCACUCUAAGGAGACUGCCGGUGACAAACCGGAGGAAGGCGGGGACGACGUCAAGUCAUCAUGGCCCCUUACGACCAGGGCUACACACGUGCUACAAUGGUAGGUACAGAGGGCAGCUACACAGCGAUGUGAUGCGAAUCUCAAAAAGCCUAUCGUAGUCCAGAUUGGAGUCUGCAACUCGACUCCAUGAAGUAGGAAUCGCUAGUAAUCG